ACGUAGAUGAUACAAACAUUAAUCAAAGUUCGUCUUUAAAAUGAUUGUUAAAAUUGGCUGGAUCUAUUCAUAGAAUAAGACUUGUAAAUUGCAUUUAAAAGCUCAGCAAAGAAUUAGGCCCUAAAAACUGGAAACAACCUGAAAAGUCUUUUCUCUGUCCCAAAGCUGCCCUCAGAAAUGCCAGAAAAAAAAUCCUUGGAUUGGGACCAGAAGGAGGCUGGAGGGAGAAUGACUCAGCAGCCACCUGUCCAGCCAACGCCCUGGACAAAUGGGACAAGAGACCUGGCAGGUGGUGCCCAUGGCGGGGGUGAUGUGAGCCCUGGACCCAGGCUCCUGUCUGUCUUCCUCUUCCCGUCCCCAGCUGGGAGGCACUCCCCCAAAGCAGUCACUGGGCUACAGCAGGGACCUGGGGGUCAUUGGAGGUCUCAGCCCCUGCGCCUCGCAGCCUCUGGGAGAAAUGAGCCUGGACGUCCCCUGACACCCCCUGGUCUCUGGAGCCCUUUGUCUGCUUGGCGUUGUCCUCUGUGGUGCACAGCACAAUGCCCCCCAGAGACUCAGUUCCUAAUCUCUGGAACCUGCGAAUGUUAGGGCAAAAGAGACUUUUGCAGAUGUGAUUAAAUUCAGGGUUUUGUGAUUAAGGAAGAUUAUCCCGGAUUAUCCAGGUGGGCCCUGGAUGUCACCCCAAAGGUCGUUGUAAGAGAGAAGCAGAGGGAGAUUGGAUGCAAGGAGGUGGCAACACGAGCACUGAAGCAGGAAGCUACGCUCCCGAGCACGAGGAAUACAGCUCUGGAAACUGGGAGAGGUGAGGAAACAGAUUCUCCCCAUGAGCCCCUGGAAGGAGCAAGUCCCUGCUGUCACCCUGAUUUCUACCCAGGGAGACACUAAAUGUGGACCUUUGGACUCCAGACUGUCAGAGAAGAAGUGUGUGAUUUUAAGCCACCACCUUGGUGGUCACUGUCACAGCAGCAAGAGGAUGCUGGCACAGCUGCGUGGACUGUGGUCUGGUUCCUGUGACAGCUCAGAAAUGCUUGGUGUUAGACUAGGGGUGACAAGCCAGACUUCAUGUCACAGUUAAGCUGAAGUUCACUGGAAAUGCGGUGAUCCAGAGGUCUCCAGAGGGGAGUUGUCUGCUUCUAGGGGAGGUGCAAGGUAACCUGUUGAGGUGCUUUGCAGUAGAAAAUCGGGAGGUGUCAGGUUUGGCCUCCUCCAGGGCCCUGCAGGCAGUGGGAAGCGAC